CCCUAAGGUUAACAUUUGUACUUUGACUCAUUACGUUUUCAAAUCAAAUUCGUUACUUUUAGUUACAUUUGAGGCCAGUUACUAUUUCCUUAUUUAUUAUUUUAUUAUUUAUUAUUUUCAGCGCAACCCUACAAAUGUCAAAGUUUGAGCCUGAACAGUAGUUUUGUGUUUUUAGCUCAGCAUGGACAGGAGCGCAGAUGUCCUGAGUUGUGCUCUCGGUACUUUAGCAUCUAGCUAGCGCUACACAAGAGGAGCGAGCAUAACGGAAGUAACGUUUAUUUAAGUAGCAGGGAGAGAAAAGAAAGGAGCUAACUUCACUCAGAGAUGGAGAAAGAUGAAACCAGGACAGGAGGAGAGGCUAUAUUUAAGGACUAGUAUGAAGACAGUGUAAUCUGUAUACCGUCAGUGAAGAUGAUGGAAAUCAACCAAGGUAGCUGCGAAACAUCUGUUGACAUCUUGAAUUCAGUUGUGUAAAUCCACAGAGCAGUAAACCUCAGACCAGCAGCAGCAGGUCUGACUGUGGGGUGAUUUUGUUGGGACGUCCACUCCUGGGACAUCAUGUUACCACACACCUGAAUGCUCCAGACCAGCAGACUGCUAAAACUUCUGUUUUUGAAGCAUCACACUUGCUGGUAAUCACUCAAGUGCAAGUGAUUAGUAGCACCUGGCUGCUACUUAGAGUCCUGGAGAAAAGAGAAUCUUCUUGGUGUAGAGGUUUGUAUGUGAGCAAAUGGUGACUGGUUAGAGUCCAGCUGAAGGCAAAAAACAGGAGAGGCAGGAGCUCACAACCACAGCAUUAUGGGCCAUUUCUUUUAGCAAAAAGAAGAACAACUAUUCCUGCAACAGCAGGUUUGGUUCUACUUCCUUUGUGAAUGGGGUUGACUACAGAAUGCAUCCUCAACACCCAGUCACUGUUUAAUGGGACCCAGCAGGUCUUGUUGUUGGACAUCUUCAGCUUCAUCUCACCAUAAUGAUUUGGCCCCAGUCAGAGUAGCUCAGCUCUUUUCACCUGCCCUUUUUAUCGCUUCUGACAUGAUGGAAAGGAGAACUAUGUACUUGUAAUAAACAAAAAUAAAAAUACAAAACUUUUUUUCAGAUAAAGUAAGCUAGACUUUCCUUUUUGAGUGAUCUUACUGUCAAAUCAUACACGUUUGACCAUGUAAAAUGAACUUUUGAAGUCAGAACUCCCACUGUUUUCAUUUGGGGUUUUUUUUUAAAUAAUGUUCAAAUAAGAAACUACUAUUUGUUUCAGUUACAUUUCCUGGAUUGACACCCUUACCCCUAACUGCUUACUCAGUUCUCAUCUA